rnacentral:rRNA from 1 species
AGAGUUUGAUCAUGGCUCAGAUUGAACGCUGGCGGCAGGCCUAACACAUGCAAGUCGAGCGGUAGCACAGAGAGCUUGCUCUCGGGUGACGAGCGGCGGACGGGUGAGUAAUGUCUGGGAAACUGCCUGAUGGAGGGGGAUAACUACUGGAAACGGUAGCUAAUACCGCAUAAUGUCGCAAGACCAAAGUGGGGGACCUUCGGGCCUCAUGCCAUCAGAUGUGCCCAGAUGGGAUUAGCUAGUAGGUGGGGUAACGGCUCACCUAGGCGACGAUCCCUAGCUGGUCUGAGAGGAUGACCAGCCACACUGGAACUGAGACACGGUCCAGACUCCUACGGGAGGCAGCAGUGGGGAAUAUUGCACAAUGGGCGCAAGCCUGAUGCAGCCAUGCCGCGUGUGUGAAGAAGGCCUUCGGGUUGUAAAGCACUUUCAGCGGGGAGGAAGGCGNUAAGGUUAAUAACCUUGGCGAUUGACGUUACCCGCAGAAGAAGCACCGGCUAACUCCGUGCCAGCAGCCGCGGUAAUACGGAGGGUGCAAGCGUUAAUCGGAAUUACUGGGCGUAAAGCGCACGCAGGCGGUCUGUCAAGUCGGAUGUGAAAUCCCCGGGCUCAACCUGGGAACUGCAUUCGAAACUGGCAGGCUAGAGUCUUGUAGAGGGGGGUAGAAUUCCAGGUGUAGCGGUGAAAUGCGUAGAGAUCUGGAGGAAUACCGGUGGCGAAGGCGGCCCCCUGGACAAAGACUGACGCUCAGGUGCGAAAGCGUGGGGAGCAAACAGGAUUAGAUACCCUGGUAGUCCACGCCGUAAACGAUGUCGAUUUGGAGGUUGUGCCCUUGAGGCGUGGCUUCCGGAGCUAACGCGUUAAAUCGACCGCCUGGGGAGUACGGCCGCAAGGUUAAAACUCAAAUGAAUUGACGGGGGCCCGCACAAGCGGUGGAGCAUGUGGUUUAAUUCGAUGCAACGCGAAGAACCUUACCUGGUCUUGACAUCCACAGAACUUUCCAGAGAUGGAUUGGUGCCUUCGGGAACUGUGAGACAGGUGCUGCAUGGCUGUCGUCAGCUCGUGUUGUGAAAUGUUGGGUUAAGUCCCGCAACGAGCGCAACCCUUAUCCUUUGUUGCCAGCGGUUAGGCCGGGAACUCAAAGGAGACUGCCAGUGAUAAACUGGAGGAAGGUGGGGAUGACGUCAAGUCAUCAUGGCCCUUACGACCAGGGCUACACACGUGCUACAAUGGCAUAUACAAAGAGAAGCGACCUCGCGAGAGCAAGCGGACCUCAUAAAGUAUGUCGUAGUCCGGAUUGGAGUCUGCAACUCGACUCCAUGAAGUCGGAAUCGCUAGUAAUCGUAGAUCAGAAUGCUACGGUGAAUACGUUCCCGGGCCUUGUACACACCGCCCGUCACACCAUGGGAGUGGGUUGCAAAAGAAGUAGGUAGCUUAACCUUCGGGAGGGCGCUUACCACUUUGUGAUUCAUGACUGGGGUGAAGUCGUAACAAGGUAACCGUAGGGGAACCUGCGGUUG